GAUGAACGCUGGCGGCGUGCCUAAUACAUGCAAGUCGAGCGAACAGACGAGGAGCUUGCUCCUCUGACGUUAGCGGCGGACGGGUGAGUAACACGUGGAUAACCUACCUAUAAGACUGGGAUAACUUCGGGAAACCGGAGCUAAUACCGGAUAAUAUAUUAAACCGCAUGGUUCAAUAGUGAAAGACGGUUUUGCUGUCCCUUAUAAAUGGAUCCGCUCCUCAUUAGCUAGUUGGUAAGGUAACGGCUUACCAAGGCAACGCUGCGUAGCCAACCUGAGAGGGUGAUCGGCCACACUGGAACUGAGACACGGUCCAGACUCCUACGGGAGGCAGCAGUAGGGAAUCUUCCGCAAUGGGCGAAAGCUUGACGGAGCAACGCCGCGUGAGUGAUGAAGGUCUUCGGAUCGUAAAACUCUGUUAUUAGGGAAGAACAAAUGUGUAAGUAACUAUGCACGUCUUGACGGUACCUAAUCAGAAAGCCACGGCUAACUACGUG
rnacentral:rRNA from 1 species